rnacentral:tRNA from 1 species
GGGCCGGUGGUGUAGCCUGGUUAGCACAUCGCCCUCACACGGCGGGGGUCGCCGGUUCAAAUCCGGCCCGGCCCA